AACAUUCUGACAAUAAGGUUAACCAAUUUAUUUGUGUAAUUUAUAGAAUUAAAUUGUGAAUCUAAACAUGUAAGGUUAUUAUAUUUGUUUACUUAGACAUUGUGGGGUACCAUAUUCACAGUAAAUGAAGGUCAAACAUGGAGAGAGUGUUAAGUGUAGGUUACACAUGGAUGACAACUGUCAUAAUGACAAGAAGCUGAGAAAUUAUAUGUAGCCCUAAAAGGACUGUGACAUUAUAAACUCCGAUUUUAUUUACUACACGGAAAAUGAGACUGAUCACCUCAUUUUAAUAUUCAUCAGUUUUGGAGCUCGCCCAAAGUUGUCCGAUUUAUCGAGAUGGGAGUAUGAUUAGUGUUAUAGUACUGCUGUUUGCAUUGUUGGCGAACAGAUGAGUCUACUGAUAGGCGAAGCUCAACCUUGACCUAGAGAGCGCAACGAUCUUAGCCUCUACGUUGCCGUUGCCGUUGCCGUUUGAAGUUCCGCCUGUUGAGGUAUGUCGAUUGUGAGGAAUAGCGAAGCCGUUCAUCACCUUUUGGUCUUCUCAACUGUCGCUGGACUUUUGAGAGGAAAGCAGUGUUUCAUAUUAUUUACUUUGUUUUCAAAAUAAGACACUUCAAGAAAAAUGUGCCCAAAAUAUCUUAUCCUAAAUCCUGCUUAACCAGGCCGGCUUGUAGAUAGAAUAAAUUUUAACUCAUUUGUAAUAUA